AUGAUGCAUAUGAUAAGAGCCCUCAAUCCCUCAGUUCUUCUUCCUGAUAAUAGGCUCGACUGUCUGACCAAGGGACCCCACAUCAGUUGGAACCGAAAGAACAACCCAGACCCUUGGAACACAUACGGUCCACACUAUCAGUACAAGGUAAAUAUCCUAUCCUUCUCUUCACACCCACAGUAGCACUACACCUCAAGGCUACAGUACAUCCCAAAU
rnacentral:lncRNA from 1 species